rnacentral:lncRNA from 1 species
CGGGCGAGAAUUGGCCUGUUUCGCUAGGGUUAGGAGGGGACGGAAACUUAGAAAGGAGAGGGUGUUGCGGCGGCGGCGGCUGCUCCUCUCGGAUUCCAGUGGCGACUCCUGGCCGCAAGGCUCCCGGGUCCUCCUCGACGCAUAUUUCAGUCAGUUCAAGUGAGUGAUUGAUUCCUUCUCUCCUCUCCCCCCUUUUGUUCUCCAGUUCUUCCUCUACUCCUCUUUUGUUCUAAAAUGUUUAAUCACGGUUAAGCUGCACUUAAGCACCCAUUGCUGUAAGUUGUGGCCUUCCGCUUCGCUUACGCUUACCGCUUUUUGAUCAUUGAAAAUUUGCUUGAUGCGACUAUUUAAAUUCAUUCGCUAUUGCAUUCACUCUUAUAGAAAUGUUCAUGAUUAUUUUACUUUGUUUUUUGUUUGUCAUACAGCUUCACACUCCCUUACUGAAUUCAAUGCCGAGUAGCGAGGUUCCUGCUUCGGAUGACCCAAUUCUUUUGGAGCGUCUUCUUCUUGAUUUGCUAGAUCCGGAGCUCAAGGGGCAUGCUCUUUUGGAGCUGCGUAAGGUAUUUUACACCAUUUGUCCUCUCAACAGCCUAUUACCUCAUCUCCUAUUUAAUUUGAAGUAUUAUUUAAAGUGCAAUUUGCUCUUAAGUCUUCAAACUUGAACUUAU